GAUUUUUAUCACUAAAAAUCAUAACACCCGUGUCCAGAAACGCAAUUCCCCCAAAGUUCAGAAACCUAAUUCCCCUUCUUCUGCGUCCACCUUCUUCCACACCACCUCCUCCUUCUCCCUCUGCCGAAGCUUCCACGGCAGGCUGUGCUCUCGCCAGUGCAGCUGCAGAUUCUGGUCCCUCUGGACACGAAACGGUUCGUCGCCAUCAGCUAUUACUUCUGCCUCUGGAUCUGCAUGCUUCAAUUCAUUCACAGAUUUCAAGCUAUAUUAGGAAAAUUGCCAUAGAACUGGUUGAAGCUAAGGUCUAAUGUGCCGAGUUGCUAGAGUCCGGUGAGGUCUGGUAUUCUUCCAGCAUAUCCAUUCCUUGAAAGGCUCAGGGUUGACAUAGUCACAAGUAUUAUCAAAGUUCCAGUGGCAUCUAUUUAUACUAUCACAAGUAUUGGUGGAGUUUAAGACUCCCAGAAAAGCUAUUCAAGGUUUAAUGUUCUACUUUUUUAUUUAUUUUUUAUCACUGUUAAACUAUUGAGUUUUAUUUUAUCUUUAUCUUUAUCUUUAUUAUUUCUGUUAAAUUAUUAUGCAUGCUUAUCUAUACUUACUUAUGUAUGCUUGUUUGUGUAAACCAUUCAUAGUGAAAGUAUAAAUUAUAUUGAUGAU